rnacentral:rRNA from 1 species
GUCGAGCGGACCGACGGGAGCUUGCUCCCUUGGGUCAGCGGCGGACGGGUGAGUAACACGUGGGUAACCUGCCUGUAAGACUGGGAUAACUCCGGGAAACCGGGGCUAAUACCGGAUGCUUGAUUGAACCGCAUGGUUCAAUCAUAAAAGGUGGCUUUCAGCUACCACUUGCAGAUGGACCCGCGGCGCAUUAGCUAGUUGGUGAGGUAACGGCUCACCAAGGCGACGAUGCGUAGCCGACCUGAGAGGGUGAUCGGCCACACUGGGACUGAGACACGGCCCAGACUCCUACGGGAGGCAGCAGUAGGGAAUCUUCCGCAAUGGACGAAAGUCUGACGGAGCAACGCCGCGUGAGUGAUGAAGGUUUUCGGAUCGUAAAACUCUGUUGUUAGGGAAGAACAAGUACCGUUCGAAUAGGGCGGUACCUUGACGGUACCUAACCAGAAAGCCACGGCUAACUACGUGCCAGCAGCCGCGGUAAUACGUAGGUGGCAAGCGUUGUCCGGAAUUAUUGGGCGUAAAGCGCGCGCAGGCGGUUUCUUAAGUCUGAUGUGAAAGCCCCCGGCUCAACCGGGGAGGGUCAUUGGAAACUGGGGAACUUGAGUGCAGAAGAGGAGAGUGGAAUUCCACGUGUAGCGGUGAAAUGCGUAGAGAUGUGGAGGAACACCAGUGGCGAAGGCGACUCUCUGGUCUGUAACUGACGCUGAGGCGCGAAAGCGUGGGGAGCGAACAGGAUUAGAUACCCUGGUAGUCCACGCCGUAAACGAUGAGUGCUAAGUGUUAGAGGGUUUCCGCCCUUUAGUGCUGCAGCAAACGCAUUAAGCACUCCGCCUGGGGAGUACGGUCGCAAGA